AAUAGCCCUACUACCUCGGUUAGUCAGAAAACCGAGGCAUAAAGGUCUGUUGUGAAACUGAGUAAACCAGGUGAAGCUUUUAUGCUUCAGUUUUACUUGGACCCGAUGCGUAUAAUGCAUUUUUAGGAAUCGGUUGGCCUGAAUAACUGAAGCAGUAUGGCUUUAUUACUUCUGUUGACGUAAUAACCGAAGCAAUAUUUCUUUUAUACUUUCACCCAGCCAAAAUUAACCCUACACACAUUGUGUUUCGUUCUCUACUGUCGUCGUUGCAUCCAAAAGCUUCAUUGCGUCCACCAUUUCUGCCGCUGCUAUCGUCUCUACUUCCUCGGCAUCUCCACCAUUGCUGCUCGUCGCGCAUCUCCCUUGCCAGCCUUGCCUUCGUCGUGUUUUUGACCGCCUCCCUUCGCUCCUCCACCAUUGUUCCUCUUUCUUCUCCCCGCAAAACUGGUUUUUCUUCUUCCUUGGUCGCGCUUCCAUUGCUCUCUGCGGCGAAGAUUUUGUUCGUCCAUUGCUCUUAGGCAAAGCAUCCUCUCAUGCACGUUGGUGCCUCUGUUUCUCCAUCUUCGUUGUUGCAUUUCUGUGUCGUGUCCGUGCCUCCAUUCCAGUCACCGUCACCGCUGCAACGUUGGACUUCGCCGCUGCCUCAAUGGCAUUCAUUGUUUUUCUUUGUUCUUCAUGGUAAGUUUUCUUAAAAUUGCUCCCUUUGAAGUUCCAUUGCCGCCAUGUUAUUUAUGACUGUGUUGGGUGAGAAAGAAUUAGUUUUAGUUUUAGAUUAGGAAUCUGUUGAUUAAAGGAGAACGUUUAGUGAGAGUUAAGGAUGAGAGAUAAAUUGUAGCAUGAUAUGCCUCUUUUGCCAGAGCAACGGGAAAUGGCUGCUUU
rnacentral:lncRNA from 1 species